rnacentral:rRNA from 1 species
GACGAACGCUGGCGGCGUGCUUAAUACAUGCAAGUCGAACGAAGUGGCGAAAGGGUGAGUAAUACGUGGGUAACCUGCCCUCCUUUCUGGGAUAAGCCUUGAAAACGUGGUCUAAUACCGAAUCAAGCGGGCUGGGCUUGCGGCCGAUCAGCUUGUUGGUGGGGUGAUGGGUUAACAAGGCGGUGACGGGUAGCCGGCCUGUGAGGGUGAACGGCCAAGUUGGGACGGAGAUACGGCCGAGACGCCGACGGGGGGCAGCAGUGGAGGAUAUUGCACAAUGGGCGAAAGGCUGAUGCAGCGACGCCGCGGGGGGGGUGAAGGCUUUCGGUUUGUAAACCUCGUUCGCAAUCGAACGGGUAGGUGGAGAGGAAGCGCCGGCUAACUACGUGCCAGCAGCCGCGGUAAUAC